CACGUAGGGGGCAAGCGUUGUCCGGAUUUAUUGGGCGUAAAGAGCUCGUAGGCGGUUCGGUAAGUCGGGUGUGAAACCUCCAGGCUCAACCUGGAGACGCCACCUGAUACUGCUGUGACUCGAGUCCGGUAGGGGAGCGUGGAAUUCCUGGUGUAGCGGUGAAAUGCGCAGAUAUCAGGAGGAACACCAGCGGCGAAGGCGGCGCUCUGGGCCGGAACUGACGCUGAGGAGCGAAAGCGUGGGUAGCAAACAGGAUUAGAAACCCCCGUAGUCC
rnacentral:rRNA from 1 species